AAAAAGAUAAGCUAAUUUAAGCUUUUGGGUUCAUACCCCAACUAUAAAGAAACUCUUUUCUUUUUA
rnacentral:tRNA from 1 species